UGGACGCGCACAUGAUUCUGUGAGGUUUUGAAAAUGUUUUCCUCUAUUAUUCGAGUGUAUUGAGUGUUAAAACUUAUAAAUUACGUGCAAAAGUGUAGUGUGAAAAUGACAGAAAUGCCUCCUUAUCACGCUGUUAAAGAUGAAGAGAAAACCAGUGGUCAGAGUGACAGUGAUUCCUCUAGCGAUACUGAUGAUUGGGAUUUAUCUCAAUGUUUUGAUAAGCCGCGGCACCUUGAGCCUAUAAAAGGCGCAGAACGGGUAGAGCACUCUUGGAGAGUUAAAGAAAAGUACAAGACACAUUGCGUGGCCCUAGUUCUAUGCCUGAAUGUUGGUGUGGACCCUCCUGAUGUUGUUAAAACACAACCCUGUGCGAGGCUCGAGUGUUGGAUUGAUCCUUUAUCUUUAUCACCGAGCAAGGCAUUAGAAAGCAUUGGUCAUGCAUUACAAUCUCAGUAUGAGAGAUGGCAACCACGAGCCAGAUACAAGCAAUCUCUUGACCCCACUAGUGAAGAGGUAAAGAAGUUAUGCUGCUCUCUGCGACGUAACGCGAAAGAUGAACGCGUGCUUUUUCAUUACAACGGACACGGCGUACCCAAGCCGACGGCGCAGGGAGAGAUCUGGGUCUUUAAUAGGACUUACACCCAGUACAUCCCGCUGUCGAUGUACGACCUGCAGACGUGGAUGGGCGCGCCCUCGCUCUACGUGUACGACUGCUCCAACGCGGGCAUCAUUGUCGACAGCUUCAAGUUGUUCGCUGAUCAACACGAGAGGGAGUACGAGGCUCAGAAGAAUGAAGAAGGCACUUCGAGCAUCCCUCAGGUCUCGUACAAGAACUGCAUCCAGCUGGCCGCCUGCGCCGCCGGACAGAGCCUGCCCAUGAACCCGGAGCUGCCCGCGGACCUGUUCACGGCCUGCCUCACCACGCCGGUCAAGACCGCCAUGAAGUGGUUCGUGCUAAGGACCCGGACCAGAUACGCCGACAGGGACCUGCACGACCUCAUCGAUAAGAUCCCGGGCCAAGUGACGGACCGCCGCACCAUGCUGGGCGAACUGAACUGGAUCUUCACGGCCAUCACCGACACCAUCGCCUGGAGCUCGCUGCCCGCCGACCUCUUCCAGCAGCUGUUCAGGGCCGACUUGCUGACGGCCAGCCUCUGCAGGAACUUCUUACUCGCCGACAGGAUUAUGAGAUCAUACAACUGCACCCCCGUGAGCAGUCCGGCGCUGCCGUCGCUGGCCGCGCACCCGCUGUGGGCGGCGUGGGAGCAGACCCUGGACUCGGCGCUGGCCCAACUGGUCACGUUAUCUUCGGCUCCACAUCCGCUGGAUUACUCCCACUCGCCGUUCUUCAGGGAUCAGCUCACCGCCUUCCAAGUCUGGCUAGAUCUCGGUAAAUGGUGCGGCGGGCGCGGCGUGCCGGAGCAGCUGCCGAUGGUGCUGCAGGUGCUGCUGAGCACGCUGCACCGGGUGCGCGCGCUGCAGCUGCUGUGCCGGUUCCUGGCGCUGGGCGCGUGGGCGGUGCGCGCCAUGCUGGCCGUCGGGAUAUUCCCCUACAUGCUCAAGCUGCUGCAGGCCUCCGCGCCGGUGCUGCGCGCCUCCAUGGUCUACAUCUGGGCCAGGAUCAUCGCGGUCGAUCCGAGCUGUCAAGCGGACCUAGUCAACGCUAAAGGGCACACGUACUUCCUCUCCGUACUGCAAGACCCUACGGUCGACAGCGAGCACCGCACCCUGGCCGCCUACGUGCUGGCCGGCAUCGUGGACGGCUACCCGGCGGGGCAGGAGGCCGCGCUGCAGGGCUCAAUGAUAUCGAUCUGCCUCGAGCAGCUCGGCGACAGGGAGCCGGUACUGGCUCAGUGGAUCUGCAUCAGCCUGGGCCGGCUGUGGCGCGGGUUCGAGGCGGCGCGAUGGACGGGAGUCAGAGAUCUCGCGCACGAGAAACUGUUCCCGCUCCUUGAGCAUUCUGAGCCUGAGGUCCGCGCGGCGUGCGCCUUCGCGCUGGGCUCGUUCGUGUGGUGGUGCGGCGGCGCCGGGCGCUGCGAGCAGGCCAACGCGCUGGACCUGCAGGUGGGCGUGCAGCUGGCCGCGCGCCUGCCGCUCGACGCCAGCCCGCUCGUGCGCGCAGAGAUACUGGCCGCAUUACAGUGGCUGGUGUUAAUAUUUGAACAACACUUCAUCGCUGUUUACAUACAAGAACGGGUCAGAAGAAAUGAUAGGGGUGGCCCGUCCGGGCGCGUGGAGGCGGGGCAGGAGGCGCUGGCGGGGGGCGGCGGGGGCGCGGCGGGAGGUCGGUCCCGGCCCCCCCACUACUCGCUGCCGGCCAUCGGGUUCGGCUCCGUGCCGGUCCGGCUGUUCUCCACGCUGUGCGCCAUGGCCCGGGAGCCGCACCCCAGGGUCGCGCAGAUGGCCACCGACAUCCUCAAUUACAUCUCGAACCAGAGCGCCCAAGUGGACAGCGUGGCGGAACCCGCGCGGAACUCCGCCAGCCUGCCGCCCUCGCCCGGGACCCGUCACCACGAGCACGCCCGGACCCUGCCCGGACACGGCCAUCGUCGCGGCAAGUCGGGGCUGCCACACACCAUAUCCGAGGAGUCCGUCGCGAAUAGAGACCGCGACUCGGGAGGGGACCGAGAACGGCACAAAGAUUCACUCUCAUCUAAUUCUAGUCAGACAUGUACGAGCAAGAAGGCGAUAGUGAGCACCGAGUUCGUGGAGUGGGCGGGCGGCGCGUUCUCCCGGCCCGAGCCCGCGCGCCCGGACUGCGAGAGCCGCGAGCACCACCAGCGCCGCUGGACCCUCGCGCGCAACCGCGAGCUGCGCAGGGAGGCCAGAGCCGCGUGCCGCGUGUCCCGGCUGGAGACGCAGGCCUUCCACUCGCGCUGCCCGCUGCCGCCCGCCGUGGUGCUCUUCCACCCCUACGACCAGCAUCUGGCCGUCGCCUCCAAGGAUAACUUUGGUAUCUGGGACUGGGGCACGGCGGCCAAGCUGUGCGUGGGCUCGUGGCGCCCGGCGUGGGGCCGCAUCUCCUCGCUGGCCUACCUCAACGAGCACCAGCACGCGCUGCUGGCCGUGGCCUCGCACACCGGCAACCUGGCAGUCUACAGGCCGUCGGGCAGCAGCACGGAGCCGGCGCUGGUGAGCGCGUGGCGCGCGCUGGACGUGUCCCCCCCGCCGCAGUACACCCCGCCGCGCGCGCAGCCCAUCUACAGUAUAGCUCAACUGGUCUCUGAUCAGUUCUCCUCGAACGAAGACAAACUAGCGACGAACAAAAACAAGCAGCAGGCCGACCCCAACUUGGGCGGCGGCACGGUAGUGCGCUGGGUGGCGGCGCGGCGCUGGGUGGCGGCGGGCGGGCGCGCGCGCGGCGUGCGGCUGUGGGAUGCGCGGCGCGAGCUGCGGGUGGGCGACCUGGCCGCGCCCGGGGACGCCGCCCUCACCGCGCUGGGGGCCGCGCGCCCCGACGUGCUGGCCGCCGGCUUCCAGGACGGCGCCGUGCGGCUGUGGGACCAGCGCACCCUGGCGCCCACGCACGACCUGCGCCGCCACGCCGCGCCCGUGCUGGCCGCCGCGCACUCGCUGCGCGCCGACCUGCUCGUCACCGGCUGCGCGAACGGCGAGAUAUGCAUAUACGACACCCGCAAGAUGGCCGUGCUGGAGGAGAUCCGCGCGCCCGGGCCGCUCGCCGCCGUGGACGUGCACCCGCUGUGCGACCUCGUGGCCUGUGGCUCGCUGAACCAGUGCAUCAGCCUGUACGACCUGCGGGGGAACGCGCUCAACACCAUCAAGUUCCACGAGGGCUUCAUGGGGCCCCGCAUCGGGCCCGUGUCCUGUCUGGCCUUCCACCCGCUCAGGUGCGCGAUGGGCGUGGGCUCCAAGGACUCCACGGUGUCGGUGUACGUGGCGGAGUCGCGCCGGUGACCCUCGCUGUACGGCAUCACGCUGCCCUUCCGCGCGGCGAGCGCCGGCCCAGGUAAUUAGAAGCUUGAACGAAGGCGAGCAGCCGGCCGCCGACCCGCGCAGCUCUUGUAAAUAUUCCACUGCACUGUACAUUGCUGGCUUCGUAUGGCCGUCGCUUACACACUUCGGAUAUAUAUACUGUAUAUCUCUAGCGGCUCCGUACACAGCCGGAGACUUCGGAUAGCUUAGUCUAGAGCAUGGACGACUGACAGCUAACAGUAAACAUGAAAUUUAACUGCGAAGACCUUGGAAAUCUAAAAUAUAAUGCAGUAAGAGUCAAUGUAAAAUCUGUGAAAUAAGAUAAGUUAAGAACUCUAAGCGGUCAAUGAACAUAGAGUCAGUCACAGAUAAUUAUUUAUAGAGCGCUUAAAGCAUUACGAUGUCUAUGAUUUGUAAAUUACAGAUAAUCAAUGUUUGUCAGAUUAUAACAGAUUGAUGCCGAUUGGUCUAGUUCUAUUUAUUUAAAGCAAUAUUUCGUAUAACUUACAAGAAACUUGUAUUGCAUUAAGUAAUAAUCGUCGUAAUGUCGCUUGUGUCUGCGGUCACCGUCUCUU